AAAGCCUCGCCUCCCCCACUCCUGGAGCAUCUGUGGGUCUGACUCCCUGAGCCGGCGGGGCCUCCCAUGGCAGCUCCCAUGGCCCACCAGGGGUACUUUUCAUUGUGCCUUGAUCCGGAGAUGGGACCCUUAACCUGCACCACAUUCCUGAGGGCGUGCGAAGGUGGCCCCAGCACACAGACACACCGGGUGCUGUGGGCUCCAGGAGUCGGUGGCGGGGAGAGGGGACUUCGGUCACGGGGCACACUGGAUCUGGAUCCCGAGAGCGAGGAGGAUGCUUCCCGGUGGAGAAGGGCGGUCUGUCCGGUGAGGAAAUGAAGAUCCUUCCAGAUGAAGAGGGUAGUAAAGCUGGAGGCACAGCUAUAUGGAGACUUGCUGACUUCGGAUGGAAUCCUCUGGUCCCCACCCCUCUGUGUCCCUGUUCUGGAACCUUUCCCUGCUCUGAGACCUUUCCUUCCUGCUUCAGAUCCCUGGGAGGCUACUGUUUCUUUCUUUACCCCCAGUAAAGGCAUCGGGUAUCAGUCAUUCACACCUUAGUAUGAGUCAAUUUCAGUCAAUAUAUUCUCUCUCCAAAAGUAAGUGUCCUUCACUCUGUCUCAGAUUGUAGAGAGAGUCCUCUGCAAGAGGUCUGUCUGGUAUCAAACAACAGCUCAGAAUGUACCCUUGGAUAUAAAGGGGAUCUGCUUACCAGC
rnacentral:lncRNA from 1 species